UUUGGUUUGUCACGUGUGGUUGGCUGCGGCGUUUGCAACAACUUCCAUGCUUUCAGACCUCUUCAGUUGUGCGGCAAGGCUUGUAUCGCCUUGCUGUAUUGUGGGUUUUCUGUGUUGAAUACCUAAUCAAUGGUAUCGGUUGGAUUGAUCAAUGUUUCAUUUCGUCUGUCGUNGCAUUCGCGGCGUGAGACGAACCUCGAUGCGGUCUCUUUGGCCCACCUCGUCGAAGCACAUGCUUUGACGUUGUGGCACAUUGAGCAUUGCUUGGUCUCUUGUAUACGGAACAUAUAGUGGGCAUGGAUCUAACGAUUCUUGUUUGCCCUCAUGUUAGCGUAACGCUUCUCUUACACGACUUGCUCCACGUUUUAG
rnacentral:misc_RNA from 1 species